rnacentral:misc_RNA from 1 species
UGUCUAAUGUAUGGACAGUGGAUAAACACGCGCCCUGUAGCGGCGCAUUAAGCGCGGCGGGUGUGGUGGUUACGCGCAGCGUGACCGCUACACUUGCCAGCGCCCUAGCGCCCGCUCCUUUCGCUUUCUUCCCUUCCUUUCUCGCCACGUUCGCCGGCUUUCCCCGUCAAGCUCUAAAUCGGGGGCUCCCUUUAGGGUUCCGAUUUAGUGCUUUACGGCACCUCGACCCCAAAAAACUUGAUUUGGGUGAUGGUUCACGUAGUGGGCCAUCGCCCUGAUAGACGGUUUUUCGCCCUUUGACGUUGGAGUCCACGUUCUUUAAUAGUGGACUCUUGUUCCAAACUGGAACAACACUCAACCCUAUCUCGGGCUAUUCUUUUGAUUUAUAAGGGAUUUUGCCGAUUUCGGGUAGAAUUGGUAAAGAGAGUCGUGUAAAAUAUCGAGUUCGCACAUCUUGUUGUCUGAUUAUUGAUUUUUGGCGAAACCAUUUGAUCAUAUGACAAGAUGUGUAUCUACCUUAACUUAAUGAUUUUGAUAAAAAUCAUUAUAAUGCCAGGGUCAGUGAGAUGUAACACUACAGACCUCAGCUUCCUCUACUUUGCCUGGCAUAGCCUACUGCACCAUCCUUUUCAAUGGAAGUAAUUUGUCCCCCAUGGGUUACACCCCCACCUAGACUACUUAAGAAGGUGCUAUUGCUCCUGAUUUCCAAUGUUUGAAUCUCCCUCCCACCAUACCAGGCAUAAAGGCUGUCACUCCCCAAUACUAAGUGGCCCCAAGUUCACCACAAUACAGCCAAGUGCAUUGUUAUCACAUUCAGUCAAAGAAUUUUCAUUGGCAACAGUCCUCUCCAAUCUGCCUAUUCACUGUCCCUACAUCAGGUGAUAGUCCAGUUGUCAGACAUGUGAUCCCUGUUUGGGGACCCACAAGGCCUAUCCAACCCAUUGCUUUUAAAAGAGCUGGGGUUCUGGUGACUUCCACAACAAGCCCAUCUGCUCUUAGUACAGCUUGUCUUAAAAUUAGCUAGACACUGUAUCAUACCCCCUCCACUGCCCUAUGAUAAGGACAGCAGAGGGUUAGAUUUACUUAUCUGCACUCAUGUGCCCCCAGCCUGGUACCAAAACUGAUAAUCUACUCCACAGCUGCAUACCUGCCAUCUUAGCCAAACCACACCAAUCCAAUUGCUGGGUCUCAUAUCAUCUCUGAAGAAGUGAUUACCUCAUUACAUGCUUGCUUGAUAUACCCACUUUCCUUAUGAGGCACACCCAUACUGAGGUAGCUAUUUUACUAUUGACUGGGUAAGCCAGUACAAAAUAAUCAUAGGUGCACAGUCUGGACAUGGGAACCCCUCUUCCUACUCACCUCUCUCAGAGGCAAUGCCCCUUCAUUAACCAUGCACCCUAGGCCUUGGUACAAGUUGCCAACCUGCAGAGAACCAGUUAGCUGAAAGGCCAGGUUCUUCUUGAUCUUGGUGCUUAGGGCAAACUUUUGGGAUAGGCAAAAACAAGUCCUUUACACACCUCCAGUCUACAGUUCCAUCAAAGUGGAACUUGGAAUGUUAUAAACUGCAUCUAUACUGUACUGCUAGUAGGCUUGUUUAAUGCUUUCAACUCCUAGAGAAUCACUUCAAUCCUACCAACCAAUAGUUCCCCAUCACACAGAUGGCUAAAGACCCUACCUCCCCUAAAGCCCUACUUCACACUGCAGGGACCUCCUAAGGGUCUUGGACCCUCCUCACUUGUUACUAGGCUAUCAUUCUACUGGUGCAGAUACAGAUUUUAGGUACCUGUCCUUGAUGCACUUAGCUUUAACAUGUCACAUGCCAAUGAAAAUAGCAGCCACAGGGGGAUAUUCUAGGAGCAACAUGGAGACUGUCUGCUACAACCACCAAACAGCUCAUCCUCUGCAUGAAUACUUACUCUAGACCCCUGCAUUCACCUUCCAUGAUUAAUCACCAACUGAGUCUUGCAAAACCCAAUUAUGGUUAUAGACAGACUGGCCCAUGUUACCACUUAAACUCCAUCUAGUCUGCAGUGUUCUGACCUAUGCCUGAGGGUCCAGAUAACCACUCUUCACUAAGCCCCCUGGAAGACAGUUAAGUCUAUCUAUCAGCCUCACAUCCAUCCCAUUCUCUCUUUGAGAUCUUAUCAGGACUGAUUGUAUGUGAACAAUAUACUCCCAGGCUGGCCAUUAGAGAUUGGUUAGUGGUUGGCUGGACCAACACCCUUAAGCAACUAAUAAGACCAUGUGGGGUGUCCAGGCCUCAUAAAUCCUGAGCCUCUCAAUCUUCCAGUGGCUCACCAUUCCCAUCCACACAACCUAUUGGAACCAUCAGAGUCAUCACCUAUAUAGGGUGAAGUAGAGCUCCACCACCCCAUAACUAUACAGUGCACCUGGCCUCUGAGACUUGCUGUGAUAACACAAACCCCAGGGCCAAAUUGGGAAGAUGCAAUGACAUUCCAUUACUUCUCCAGGACAACAUUUAUUUGUUGCUGACUCCAGACUUAACAAGGAGUAUUUGAGGCCACUGUUGGGGCCCUAACCCACCCAGCUCUUGACAGCUAAUCUUAACCUCAAGGAUUGACCAUUGGGGGAGUCAACCAGCUUUGGCCCUGCUCAAGCAAACAAUCCCCAGAUGACCUGCUGGCAGGCACCCCUAGAAAUAUUGUGGGUUGCACUAUUUCUUGCUCAGAUGCUUCCCACUAUAGCCCCACUCCAACUAGUACCACAUCAUUUUAUGGAUCAAUCACAAAGGAGCCCCUAUAGGCUGAUUCUGUGUUUCAAAAAGUGAAGCCUAUGUGCUCCAUUGAGUCAGUAAAUUAACACCACUAGAAGUUAUCCAGCUAGUCAAGGGUUUUCCAUAUGUCCCAAGGUACUAGCUACAGCACUUGAAUAUGGUCUACUAUGAGUGGGACUAUUAAUGUCAUCUUUCUGUAUAGCUGCCCCAUUUAAAGCAUAUAUGAAGUGCUAACAUUGUGUUGGAUCUUUAUGCCACCAGAUCCCCCUUACAGUAUUCUCACCCAAAUGGGAUGAGAGUUGUAUUAAGGCUAGUUAAUCCCUAAGUCCAUACAUAGGACCACAGUAGCUUGGCUAUGCUCACAAUUUGCCAUGUAUAUCAGUCCCAGAGGUAUGCAAGACAUUGCCCACAUUUCAGAAUGGUCCUGUCUUGUGGUUCCUUGCCUUUUGCACAUUACCCUUGGCCUUCUACAUAAUGUGAGUCCUGGCUGCAAUCUAUGUAUUGAAAGUAGGUAACCCUUCUCAUUGUCAAGAACAUCUGUUCCUAGCCACCCUGACCCUGCCUCCCUGAAGCUGCUCCCAUAGGCCCACUGAUCUCACUGCUUCUAAUUGCAUCCCUUGACUCUCUAUCCCCUGAGAAUUCCUGCUUGUGCAGCCUUGUGAGCCACUACCCAGUCAGGGUGUUAAGCCUUACCAUGACCAGGUGCCCUCUAUGACUAGCCCAAGACUCACAGACAGGAUAGCCAGCUGUACCCCACACUCCUCUUGCCCUGGGCACUCUCAUCAGUACCCUCAAUAACCUAGCUGUCCACUCACUAUCCUCAGACCAAUUCUCCUUCUGCCAAAGGUCCAACAUAGAGGACUCAUCUGGGCUCAGGCAACUCAGGGCAUAUGGGACCAUAGCUCAACUACAAUAAAACCAGGGGCCACAUAAGCUAGCAAUCAGUGGGUGUAAGUGUCUGGGUGCAUCAGCUGGUAAGACUGCCAGAUUCUAUGCAGGCCAAUCAUGAACCUACUAGUCCCUCAUGGUCACUUUGUUCAUCUAACAGAUAGUUGCUUCAAACUCAAGACCUUACUAACCUUAGUCACUGGUUCUACCAGCCCAGGAAUCCUCCUUGGGCUAGCCUCCAAGAAGCUUCAGACUCCUUAAUACCAAGCAGCAGGAACAGUUUCAGCACCAAGAGGUGAGAACUGCUGUUAGCAUCACUGACUUACAAUCUCAUGAUAGCUAAGCAUUCUUAGAACUCUUAUAUAACUCCCUAUUACCAGAGACAGCCCUCAGGAUUACUGAUGGACCUUCUUCAAGUCUUUUCUAGCACAGGACCUACAGGGAGAGGGAAAGUCAGCUCCUAUGGGGAAUACAAGAGUUAGUCUUCAGUUUGUGGCUGAGGCUUCUUUGUGCUGGUUGCCUCUAAGACAAAUUAUUCUGGAAUCUAAUCAAGUUUACAAGGUCAGCAUUAUGACCCAGGUCAAUAGCUUCUGGGAGGCUCUUCUAGUUUCCACCUUUGUACCAGUAUCCUAUUUAAGAUAGGUCAUGCAUAGGGCUCUACACAAUGAGUUCAGAGCCUUUGCAGCUUAAGGAAAUCUCUCCUCCAUAAAAGUUCUGCUUUGAUGUCAAUUCCCCUUGUACUUCCUGUGACUGCAACACAGUUGGACUGGUAUUCCUCAACAUCAACAAUUAGUAAAAGCAAUGGUUGUGACCAAGGAAUGAGACCAGCAAUUAAUUGACAUAGUUUAACUGUCAAACACUGAGAGAUGGAGCCUGCAAGUGGGGCUUAUCCCACAGAGUACUGUUUUCUGAGGAGCUGAGUUAACAGGUGGAGAAAAUCCCAAAGAUACUCUCCCAAUGGCCAGUCCAAGCUUGAAGUCAAUGCAACCUCUAGUAAUAGGUAGAGGCUGCCACAAAUGAUGCCUACAAAGAGUAAACUUCUAUAUGUGGUAAUGGCAUCCAAGUAAAGGGCUAAUGCAGAACAGAGCUUUUGUUAAUGGGCAAGCUACUACUAAACCCUCUGGAGCAUGUGUUAGUAGAUACCUUCAACCUUGGAGCUCACUCAGAAAAAGCCUGAACCCAGAAUUAAAACAUCCUGGUGUACUCUGGCACCAGUGACACCAUGGCUUUUUCAGGCCCCUGUGCCUGUUGCAUGCAAACCUAAGAGUCUAAAGGUAAUCUGUCAGCCAGGAGAGUGGUCUCCAUGCCUCAGUGUGUAGGUGGGCAGUCAUUCCUAUACCAUAUAAAAUGGAGUACAUCUACAAGCACUGGACUACCUAGGUUUCCUGGAUAGUAACUCUAACCAGACACACAUGGCCUGGAGUGGAGUUACCCAACAGAACCCUGUCAUAUUUCCUAAUCCACUAAAGUCUGUUACAUACAGGCAGUUUUUGCUCUCUGCUGCCUGCCCAGCAGCUAUGGUGAUCAACUGGCUAGAAUGACUUGUGUACCUACCCUAAUUUUAAUUUCACUCUGACAUGCAGUUCAACAGGCUACCCCUUUUUAUUGGUGGCUACAUUUGGCUUAAUUCUAACUGGUCAGAGAUAAAGCUCAGCAGUGAUAUGAGCCCUUAGGAAAAUUCCAGAGCACACACUAGCAGAUGUUUUAUCAUGGAAUAUUAUCAAUGUAGCUCUGGGGGUAACUUUGAAAAGCUGUUCACUUACCUUUCCAGGGAUAACUUGCAUUUAGACAUACUAGAUUAUCUUACAUUCUGAUAUCACUAGUGUCCUGAAACAGGGCUUCAUCAUAAUCCUUGUCACCUGUUAAACCUUUUAUAUGCCCUUGCUAGGGCCCAACUCUGUCUCCUGUAAAGUUAAAGUGCCUUCAGGAAGUUGGUGAGUAGACCUGAAUAAUUCAUACUUUAUCUCCUACACCAGGAUGACUCAGUAGGACAUCUCAGUCUCUAAUACUCAUACAAAUACACUCUAUUAGGGGCUGGGACACCUGAUCCAGAAACAAAGUUUCUUAAGUACCUCUGUACAAUUGAAGAUAAUGGUACUCAAUGAUAUUUUGUGAUUCAAAUUUACAGAGAGCAGUAAUGUUCCCAGUUUAUCCUUAGAUAGAGCAAAAGAUUAAAGAACCUGGUUAAUAUUUAGGAUCUGAUGAUCCUGCACACUUCUGAAUGCCUUGAAAUUCUUGUCCAUUCAAUACCCUGGUCUUAGGCCAUAUCCUGUUCUAGAACACUUAUGCACAAUCAAUAUGCAUGGGCUGUGUGAGGGCUGCUAUCUGUAGGCACUAAUGGAUUUGUAAGCUGGCUCUGUUUCUCUUACUUUCAGUAUACCUAUCAAGGUUUUGGUGUUGAAACCUGACUGACCACUGGCAAAGGGUGGGAAACUUAGGUUCCCUAGUAUGCUAGCUUAGCAACCAUAAGGUCUAUUGUCUCAAAUCAAAAUCUAGGGGAACAUGAUCUGGAUGCCCAUAUUCAAGCCAACAAAUCUUGAACUGGGAUUCCAAGGGCCUAACAACUAUUCCACUUGGCACUUUAGCAGGCUCAUUCAUGCUCUGAUCAGUUGCAAUUUAUGAAACUGUAGUCUCAGGUCCUAGGAAUUAUAGGUUGUACACUGGGCCUCCUGGGAAUUGUUUGCUACUUGACCUCUUUCAUGUACAUGUUGAUGGGGUAGUACUAAUUAAGAGCCAUAGUCAUAAGUAGUUGGGCAUGCUGAAUCAUCCAGUAGAAGGCUCCAGCAUGAGGUGGCAUUGAUGAACAGCCUAAGCUUAUUGCAAGCAUGGCACAUAGCACCUAACUUCAUGACUGUUAUUCAUUUACCUGAGUAUAGGAUUUCAUAUAGAUCCAAAUAGGAACUAAGGUUCAUAGUAGCCAUCAUGUUCAAAGCUAUAACAAACAUUAAAUAUAUCCAUGUCCUAAAUGCAUUAGGUGAACCAAGUCACAGGUACAGAAAGGGGAUGCAGCACAAAAAUUGAUACUUGUAGAAAGAGGAUUCAGAUAUAUUGAGCUGUGCUACCAUUAAUAAAGAUGGGUCCCAUGAAGAGCAUCUUCUGUUGUUAGGUCUGACUAUGGCAGCAAAUCCAGGUAAGGCAAGGACUAGUUCUCAAGUGACCUUUAAGUUGACUUUUAGCCUGUAUUUCAAGGCUUAGAGGGCACAACUGUGUCUAUAAAUUGCCUAAUGAAUCCAUAGACUUUACCAAUGCUGUCUAGAUAUGCUUAAAGGAAGAGUGUUGUAGUGUAUGAACUUUCUAUUUGCUGCUGAGAUAUUAGUUGUGGAUCCUAGUUGAAUUUCUAAGUUAGGCAGGUAUCUGGCUUGCAGGAUCCAUUUCUGCAAAGUAAGAGGGGGUCAUUGCAGACCCAUGCUAUGUCUGUGAAAGAUCUGUGCAUAUCUAGAGGUUAGGACUUCAGCUACCUGGGUUUGCAUAAGAAUAAGCAGACUAAAAGGCAUGACAGAAGACUUCUUAUGGGUAGCAGUCUUAUUUUUAGAGUUCUUGGGAGAUCAGAUCUAAGGAGAUUCACAAGAAACUAGAGUAGCAUUGGAGAUGAGUAACAUAUACACAUAUUACUACAUGGUUUACUGCCUUAAAUGUGGCCUAGGGUAUUAUGCUGGAGAGCUAGGUGUCAGUUCUAAAAAGGAUAAGUCAUGGGGGCCUUUCACAGCAAGUUACAAACUAUGUUUAGUAUCAGAACUUAUUAAACAUAACAGUAACCAAAGCCAUGGUAUGAUGUACUAUCUUUUUGUAGCACUAGGAUACUAUAUUAACUACUCUUUAGUUUUGUCAUGAGAAGUACACCUUAUAGCAUAGAUUGAAUGGGUGGAUGUCUCUGUGGAGGUGUGUGCUUGGAUUAGAUGGUGUGAAUAGAAAACUAAAUACUGGAUUGGACAAGUGUU